rnacentral:sRNA from 2 species
UUGGUUUAUAAGCAGAUUCCCGAAAGGAUUCACAUUUAUGUGUGGAUAUGCCUUGUAACCGUUAAAAGCAAUUUUGCAAACUUUAGGGGGAAUAUUAAAAAUG